GACGAACGCUGGCGGCGUGCCUAAUACAUGCGAGUAGAACGCUGAAGGAGGAGCUUGCUUCUCUGGAUGAGUUGCGAACGGGUGAGUAACGCGUAGGUAACCUGCCUGGUAGCGGGGGAUAACUAUUGGAAACGAUAGCUAAUACCGCAUAAGAGUAGAUGUUGCAUGACAUUUGCUUAAAAGGUGCAAUUGCAUCACUACCAGAUGGACCUGCGUUGUAUUAGCUAGUUGGUGGGGUAACGGCUCACCAAGGCGACGAUACAUAGCCGACCUGAGAGGGGGAUCGGCCACACUGGGACUGAGCCACGGCCCAGACUCCUACGGGAGGCAGCAGUAGGGAAUCUUCGGCAAUGGACGGAAGUCUGACCGAGCAACGCCGCGUGAGUGAAGAAGGUUUUCGGAUCGUAAAGCUCUGUUGUAAGAGAAGAACGAGUGUGAGAGUGGAAAGUUCACACUGUGACGGUAUCUUACCAGAAAGGGACGGCUAACUACGUG
rnacentral:rRNA from 1 species